rfam:Triticum aestivum genome assembly, contig: Triticum_aestivum_CS42_TGACv1_scaffold_325049_4BL
AUGGUACUCCCUCCGUCCGGAAAUACUUGUCAUCAAAAUGGAUAAAAGGGAAUGUAAUCUCUUUUUAUCCAUUUUGAUGACAAGUAUUUUCGGACGGAGGGAGUAUGUC